AUUGCCAAUAAAAUUUGGUUUGUUUGUUAGCUGGUUCACUAGCAUUCUAUUUCUACCUUUCAUGAAGUAAAUUUUUCUUUCUUUCUCGGUAUCAUUUAUUUAUUUAUUUUUAAAUUUUUGCUCAGGUUGGGGAAUUUUAUGAAGCUUGGGGAAUAAAUGUAUGUAUUCUUGUUGAAUAUGAGGGUUUAAAUCCUUUUGGCGGUCUGCAAUCAGAUAGUAUCCCGAGAGCUGGUUGUCCUGUUGUGGUAUUUUUAUUUUUGUCGGCAAACUUUUAUAUUGAUGCUGCCAUUUGUUUUGGUUAUUUUCUUUUCUCAUCAAAUUUAAUUUUUAUAUUGAUAAUUGUGAAUGAACUUCUUAUAUGUAUAAUAAUCACUUUCUUCCUUUCUUUGGUCAAAGAAUCUUCGACAAACUUUAGAUGAUCGGACACAAAGCGGUUAUUCAGUGUGCCUGCCAUCUUACCAGUCUAUGAGUACAUGCUGCUAAUAAAUUUUGGUCUCAACACUGCAUUGUGGAGGAGGCAGGCUCAGGGCCCAACUCAAGCUCGAUCCAGGAAACGUCUCUUUAUAUCUGGAUUAAAAGAAGGAAGGGGCAUAUGGACAGAGGUUAAGGCAUCAUCCAUAACAGACAGAAAUCCAACUUGAAAUUGAAAAUAAGCAAUAUGGUUAUUGGACAAAUUCAGCUCUGCCCCUUGUUCUCCAGGCCUACUGUGAUGUUGAUUAGGCAUUUAACCUGAGAUGUUGGAAUCUUCACAUAUGUGUCCUGCGUAUUUGUUGGUCCUAACCUAGUCUCUUGGUGGUCUAAGAAACAAACCUUGGUGGCCCAAUGGAGCACGGAGGUAAAGCAUUUCUGUUUGACACGCAACAGAAAAAGUAUUAUGGCUGCAGUCUCUUUUCACAGAACUUGGGGUUGAAUUUACUACACCCACUAUCCUAUGUGCCAAUCUCAGUACUGUGUCACCAGCUCGUAAUCCCUUUCUUCAUGUUAGAACAAAGCAUGUGGGACUUGUCCUAUUAUUUGUAAGGAAGGUGAACAACCAAAGCUUUCAUCUCUAUUAUGUUUCUGCUCUACACAAAUGUACUCACAUUCUAAU